CUACACUAUUUUCACAUGAUGAGGAUAACAGCAUUCACUAACAACCAAUUUCAUUAUCGAUUCGAUUAGUUGUUGCAGCUCUAAUAAUAAAUAAUAAACUCAGUGUUUCAAAGAGAAUAAAAACCCAUAAAGUUUGGAAACUCACUGUUCCAGCAGUCGUACAGUCGCUCUAUUAAACAUUUUUCUACUAUUGAACAUCAGGUAGCUGCUCCAUCAACACUUUCAUCUCAUAAGGAGCACGAGACUGAGAGGAACCACCACAUCCAGAGUCCACCCACAUCCAGCUCAAGUUCCAGCUGUGGAGGAGAAACCAGCUGCAGCUCAAGUUCCAGCUGUGGAGGAGAAACCAGCUGCAGCUCAAGUUCCAGCUGUGGAGGUGAAACCAGCACAAGUUUAAAAUUCAGUUAAAGCUCCUUCAGCAUCUCGUCUUUUACUUCUUACAAUCUGACUUCAGUUCAUCACCUCACCAUCUGUGGCGCUAUUUCCCCUUUUCACCUUCUGUGUCUCCAGUAUGUGUGUACACAUGCUCAGAGUUUACUUACAGGCACACAUUCUUCUGUUAGGUUUUUUAUAAUCACAACCUUUGUGUGGAACUACAGCUCUACUGACUGAACUCGCCGGGAACGCUGCCUGUUCUGCCCUGUUCCAUGAAAGCAGCAGCAUGUUGGAAACUGGAUUAUCUGCACUUCUUUUGUACUUUAAGAAUUGUGCUGUGCUCAGCAGUAAAACUCAAUGGAACUCAAACUGUCUUGUGUUUAAUGGUGAGAAAAGUGCCAAAGUCUGCCAGAGACACUGUUCAAUUCUCAAUUAAAUCUCAGGAAAUUGUAGACAAGUCAAGACAUCAGCAAACUUCAUCACUGCUGUGAUGCCGAGUGGUGAAGGUGUUGGACUUGAAAUCUAAUGGUGUUUCCCCACGCAGGUUUGAAUCCUGCUCACAGCGUUUCAUCAAUGUGUGAUAGUGAUUUCUUGUUAAGUCUUUACUGUGUGAAGUGAACAAUGUACAGAAGUGUUUCAUGCAUAGAAGAAACGUUGGAAACAAACAUUAUCUGGUUUACUUGAGGUGAAAGUUGUUUUGCUGGGACGAGGAGGAAGAACAUUAGAACUCACAUUACCUCUUUAGGAAACAUGAUUCGUCUUGUGCUUUCUACAAGAUCCAAAAGGUUCAGAAAGAUCUUUUUAAACUUCUUGGACGUUGUUGCCACAAAGUCUUAC